AACACGUGAGCGACUGCCCAGUGUGGGGGAUAGCCGGCCCAACGGCCGGGUAAUACCGCAUACGCUUCUAUGGGGGCAUCCCUGUGGAAGGAAACCUUCGGGGCACAUGGAGGGGCUCGCGGCCUAUCAGCUAGUUGGCGGGGUAAUGGCCCACCAAGGCGAUGACGGGUAGCUGGUCUGAGAGGAUGGCCAGCCACAUUGGGACUGAGAAACGGCCAGACUCCUACGGGAGGCAGCAGUGGGGAAUCUUGCGCAAUGGUCGAAAGACUGACGCAGCGACGCCGCGUGGGGGAGGAAGGUCUUCGGAUCGUAAACCCCUGUUGCCCGGGACGAAUGACCCUUUCGAGGGGAGUGACCGGUACCCUGACCGAAUAAAGCUCCGGGCUAAACUUCGGUGGCCAGCAAGCCGCGGUAAAUACGAAGGGGGAAGCUAAGCGAAGGCCGGGAAAUUUCACUGGGGCCGUUAAAAGGGGCAGGUGAAAGGACGGAAACCAAUAAGUCCAGAANAUGGUGAAGGGCCCCCAUUAAAAGGACUNUAGAACAACCCCCUUAAAGGGAAAGGGGUCGGCCAAAUUUCGGGCAAACCCUGGGGCGGGGAAA
rnacentral:rRNA from 1 species